rnacentral:rRNA from 1 species
UACGGGGGGGGCAAGCGUUGUUCGGAAUUACUGGGCGUAAAGGGCGCGUAGGCGGAGUAUUAAGUUAGAUGUGAAAUCCCUGGGCUUAACCUGGGAAUGGCAUUUAAUACUGAUAAUCUAGAGUAGAGUAGAGGGAAGUGGAAUUUCCGGUGUAGCGGUGAAAUGCGUAGAGAUCGGAAAGAACACCGGUGGCGAAGGCGGCUUCCUGGACUCAUACUGACGCUGAGGCGCGAAAGCGUGGGGAGCAAACAGG